UUCUUUUACGACGGAGCCUAAGAUAUUCUUUGUCUUGUCGGUGAGUGAGUUACAGUCGGAUGACCAAGUGAAAUAUAGGGGUGCAACGAGGAUUUGGAGGCUUCUGAGACUUGAACUUAGGGUACUGGUGUAAACUUCCUCGGAGAAGUGCGCAGCAGCUAAUGAUAUUUCGGGAUUGGAGUCUGGGCCCCAGUGAGAUUCGUACUAAGCGGCCUGACUGAAGGCCGCAUGCGUUCUAGUUCCUGAGUCCCCGCGUGGGUAGGUUUUUACAGCAGGGUUUGCAGCCUUUUGUGCUGUUCCGAAGGUACUAGAGUCACCGAAAGAGACAUCCUAUUAUAUGCACGUUCACAAGGACAAUGGCGCCAUUGUUCUUCGCGUCUUCAAAGCAGCUACAAGAAGAAACCAAGAUGGAGGGGAGCCCAAAGCAUCUGAGAGAAUUGAUAAAUGAAAGAAACAUGCUUAAAACAUGACCGUUUUAAAGGUGAAUGCUGACCAGUGAGAAAACUAGAUGUGACCAUCCAGAAAAAGCAUAGACAAAAAAAUGCAGUCUUAGUACUGGGAUGUUUGAGAUGGGGUCUAUCUACAUGUCUCUAGCUGUCCCUAUCAGGACAGCAUCUGGUGUGGCCUGCAGAGUUGAUUCCUGUACUUUUUUUUUUUUGUGGGCUGUAUGUAAAUGGAUUGUUUUGACAAUCCAUUCGACAGUGUUCUCUUCUGUGAAGGUCAUAGGUGAGCUGAUUGACAGACACAGCUGUACAGACUGAAUGCAAUCCUGACUAUAAAGCUGCAGUUCAUCAUUAUGAGCUAUUUCCUUAUUCUGGCAGUGAUUGAAAUAAAAUGGGGAGUAUUGAAAUAAAAAACAUUCAAUUGCAAA
ensembl:processed_transcript Snhg5 small nucleolar RNA host gene 5